AUUGAACGCUGGCGGCAUGCCUUACACAUGCAAGUCGAACGGUAACGCGGGGCAACCUGGCGACGAGUGGCGAACGGGUGAGUAAUGCAUCGGAACGUGCCCAGUAGUGGGGGAUAGCCCGGCGAAAGCCGGAUUAAUACCGCAUACGACCUACGGGUGAAAGGGGGGGAUCGCAAGACCUCUCGCUAUUGGAGCGGCCGAUGUCAGAUUAGGUAGUUGGUGGGGUAAAGGCCCACCAAGCCUUCGAUUUGUAGCUGGUCUGAGAGGACGACCAGCCACACUGGGACUGAGACACGGCCCAGACUCCUACGGGAGGCAGCAGUGGGGAAUUUUGGACAAUGGGCGCAAGCCUGAUCCAGCCAUGCCGCGUGCGGGAAGAAGGCCUUCGGGUUGUAAACCGCUUUUGUCAGGGAAGAAACGCUCUGGGCUAAUACCUCGGGGUAAUGACGGUACCUGAAGAAUAAGCACCGGCUAACUACGUGCCAGCCGCCGCCGUAA
rnacentral:rRNA from 1 species